CCUACGGGAGGCAGCAGUAGGGAAUCUUCCGCAAUGGACGAAAGUCUGACGGAGCAACGCCGCGUGAGUGAUGAAGGCUUUCGGGUCGUAAAACUCUGUUGUUAGGGAAGCGGUACCUAACCAGAAAGCCACGGCUAACUACGUGCCAGCAGCCGCGGUAAUACGUAGGUGGCAAGCGUUAUCCGGAAUUAUUGGGCGUAAAGCGCGCGCAGGCGGUUUCUUAAGUCUGAUGUGAAAGCCCACGGCUCAACCGUGGAGGGUCAUUGGAAACUGGGGAACUUGAGUGCAGAAGAGAAAAGCGGAAUUCCACGUGUAGCGGUGAAAUGCGUAGAGAUGUGGAGGAACACCAGUGGCGAAGGCGGCUUUUUGGUCUGUACUGACGCUGAGGCGCGAAAGCGUGGGGAGCAAACAGGAUUAGAUACCCUUGUAGUC
rnacentral:rRNA from 1 species